rnacentral:rRNA from 1 species
CAGUCGCCGCGGGAAUACGUAGGGUGCAAGCGUUAAUCGGAAUUACUGGGCGUAAAGCGUGCGCAGGCGGUUCUAUAAGACAGAUGUGAAAUCCCCGGGCUCAACCUGGGAACUGCAUUUGUGACUGUAGAGCUGGAGUGCGGCAGAGGGGGAUGGAAUUCCGCGUGUAGCAGUGAAAUGCGUAGAUAUGCGGAGGAACACCGAUGGCGAAGGCAAUCCCCUGGGCCUGCACUGACGCUCAUGCACGAAAGCGUGGGGAGCAAACAGGAUUAGAUACCCGGGUAGUCCCUGUCUCUUAUAC